rnacentral:lncRNA from 1 species
ACAUCAGGGAUAAAAGUUUUAGCCAAUGACAUAUAGGAAAAUUUCCCUUCAGAUUUAAGCAAGCAGGAAAGACAGUAGUUCUUUUCAGGACUCCUACCAUUUCAAUUUGCGACAAGACGGAGUACAUUACUCAACCAUUACAAUAGCAUCAUGCAUGACUCCAGAUGAAGUCAGCUAAAUCCAAGCUCAUUCCUCUAAACUGGAGAGAAGCACACAGACAACAGUAACACGAUUUGAGCAGGACUCAGGAUGGAAGAAAAAAGAAACAAGCUUAAAAAUAACCUAACGUACACAUGAACGACAACUAAAGAACAAUCCCCGGCCUAACGUGUGCCAUUAUUAUUCACCAAAGCGCCCAGCAUGUUGACGAGGCCCUGGCCGCGGCCGGGGAUGUUGCGGCGGUAGCUCUUGCUUCCCGGCGGGACGAGGUCCUCGUUCCCCGUAACGGCGAACCACUGGUGCUUCCCGUUGGCGAAGCCGGGGAUGGCGUUGUCGCCUGUCCUCACGGCUAACUUGGAAUUGUCACCGCGGCCCGUCUGCAAGGCGACGAGCAUGUAGCGCUUGCCGGCCGGCGGAUGGAGUUGCGCCACCGCACCGAGGCUGCCGGCGGCGAGCGCAAGCGCGAGGAAGAGGAGCGCAGCAGAAGAACGUCUCCCUUCCAUGCUGAAUAGUCCUUCGGUGACUGAGGCACUGGGAGA